rnacentral:rRNA from 1 species
UACGGGGGGGGCAAGCGUUGUUCGGAAUUACUGGGCGUAAAGGGUUCGUAGGUGGCCUGCUAAGUCAGACGUGAAAUCCCUCAGCUUAACUGGGGAACUGCGUCUGAGACUGGCGGGCUUGAGUGCAGGAGAGGAACGCGGAAUUCCAGGUGUAGCGGUGAAAUGCGUAGAUAUCUGGAGGAAUACCGGUGGCGAAGGCGGCAUCCUGGACCAUUACUGACGCUGAGGCGCGAAAGCUAGGGGAGCAAACGGG